GAUUACUCUUCCAAGAUAUCAAAUCGCAGUGUUUGGGGACCUUUGGUGUUGUACGUGGCUGGGUGGAGGAAGAGACCUUCAAUGAUAUCAAUGAGGACAAGGAACGGGACAUGGCUAGCUUGGUAUCUAACCUUGUGCAAAUGGGGAGUUUGCGGUUGUGCAAAUGGACUGUUUGCGGUUGUUUGCGGUGCGUUAAAUGGGG